rnacentral:sRNA from 1 species
AGAUGAUAUAAAGUAGAUUGGAGGGA